rnacentral:rRNA from 1 species
GACAGAGGGUGCAAACGUUGUUCGGAAUUACUGGGCGUAAAGCGUGUGUAGGCGGUCUAUCACGUCGGAUGUGAAAGCCCCGGGCUCAACCCGGGAAGUGCACUCGAUACGGAUGGACUGGAGUCUCGGAGAGGUGGGUAGAAUUCCCGGUGUAGAGGUGAAAUUCGUAGAUAUCGGGAGGAAUACCGGCGGCGAAGGCGGCCCACUGGACGAAGACUGACGCUGAGACACGAAAGCGUGGGGAGCAAACAGG